rnacentral:tRNA from 1 species
GAGGGUGUAGCUCAGUGGCAGAGCACAGGGCUUAGCAUGCACGAGGUCCUGGGUUCAAUCCUCAGUACCUCCA